UGGGGAAUUUUGGACAAUGGGCGAAAGCCUGAUCCAGCCAUGCCGCGUGAGUGAAGAAGGCCUUCGGGUUGUAAAGCUCCUUUAGUCGGAAAGAAAGAGUUGCAAUGAAUAAUUGUGAUUUAUGAUGGUACCGACAGAAAAAGCACCGGCUAACUACGUGCCAGCAGCCGCGGUAAUACGUAGGGUGCGAGCGUUAAUCGGAAUUACUGGGCGUAAAGGGUGCGCAGGCGGUCUUGCAAGUCAGAUGUGAAAGCCCCGGGCUUAACCUUGGAAUUGCGUUUGUAACUACAAGGCUAGAGUGCAGCAGAGGGUAGUGGAAUUCCAUGUGUUGCAGUGAAAUGCGUAGAGAUGUGUAAGAACACCGAUGGCGAAGGCAGCUCCCUGGGUUGACACUGACGCUCAUGCACGAAAGCGUGGGGAGCAAACA
rnacentral:rRNA from 1 species